rnacentral:misc_RNA from 1 species
AUGAAUUGUAAAUGGGGGCUGAUGCUGGCAGUUGAUUCUUCAGCUGCAUUGUGCACGCUUCUAACAAUCUUUAUCCAAACACUUGUGCACCUUUGAAAGAAGGGGGGAAGGUUUUCCCCCUUCUUAUUUACAUACACCGUUUCUAUAAUGUUGAAUGUGAUCUUGUGCCUUUUCCUUUAAGGAGGGCCUAACCUAAUGUUAAUA